GAGAGAUACCGUCUUGUAGGUUUUCACUCCAACCCUGUUCCUGGAGAGAUACCGUCCUGUAGGUUUUCACUCCAACCCUGUUCCUGGAGAGAUACCGUCCUGUAGGUUUUCACUCCAACCCUGUUCCUGGAGAGCUACCCUCCUGUAGGUUUUCACUCCAACCCUGUUCCUGGAGAGCUACCCUCCUGUAGGUUUUCACUCCAACCCUGUUCCUGGAGAGCUACCCUCCUGUAGGUUUUCACUCCAACCCUGUUCCUGGAGAGCUACCCUCCUGUAGGUUUUCACUCCAACCCUGUUCCUGGAGAGAUACC